UUCUGCCUUCGGGUAGACAGAGAGACAGGUGGUGCAUGGUUGUCGUCAGCUCGUGUCGUGAAAUGCUGGGUUAAGUCCCGCAACGAGCGCAACCCUUAUCCUUUGUUGCCAGCGGUCCGGCCGGGAACUCAAAGGAGACUGCCAGUGAUAAACUGGAGGAAGGUGGGAUGACGUCAAGUCAUCAUGGCCCUUACGACCAGGGCUACACACGUGCUACAAUGGCGCAUACAAAGAGAAGCGACCUCGCGAGAGCAAGCGGACCUCAUAAAGUGCGUCGUAGUCCGGAUUGGAGUCUGCAACUCGACUCCAUGAAGUCGGAAUCGCUAGUAAUCGUGGAUCAGAAUGCCACGGUGAAUACGUUCCCGGGCCUU
rnacentral:rRNA from 1 species